rnacentral:rRNA from 1 species
GAUGAACGCUAGCUACAGGCUUAACACAUGCAAGUCGAGGGGAAACGAUAGAGAAAGCUUGCUUUUUCUAGGCGUCGACCGGCGCACGGGUGAGUAACGCGUAUCCAACCUGCCCAUCACUUGGGGAUAACCUUGCGAAAGUAAGACUAAUCCCCAAUGACGUCUCUAAAAGACAUCUGAAAGAGAUUAAAGAUUUAUCGUUGUUGGAGGGGGAGGCGUCUGAUUAGCUUGUUGGCGGGGUAACGGCCCACCAAGGCGACGAUCAGUAGGGGUUCUGAGAGGAAGGUCCCCCACAUUGGAACUGAGACACGGUCCAAACUCCUACGGGAGGCAGCAGUGAGGAAUAUUGGUCAAUGGGCGAGAGCCUGAACCAGCCAAGUAGCGUGCAGGAUGACGGCCCUAUGGGUUGUAAACUGCUUUUAUAAGGGAAUAAAGUGAGUCUCGUGAGACUUUUUGCAUGUACCUUAUGAAUAAGGACCGGCUAAUUCCGUGCCAGCAGCCGCGGUAA